ensembl:lncRNA
UCUUCCUGACGCUGCCACUGCUCUGCAUGUCUGGGAGGGUGUUUUGUGGAUAAUGACUCGUCUUAUCUGCCUGGGACAGAGGCUCAGGGAGCCGGCCUGUAACUGAGUAACUGAUUCCUCCCUGCCGCUCAGCCGUGCCUGAAGGCAGAUACAAAGUCAGCCUAGACAACUCCUGUCUGGGCAAGUCUUCUCUCCUUUGAUCCUUGGCACAAGCCUGUGAGGUGGGAAUCCAAUGCCGUCACCCAUUUUACAGGUGGGGAGACUGAGGCUCCAGCGAGGACGAGAGACUUAUACUCAGACUGAGGUUCAUGGGUGGCAGGUUUGAAUCUGGGAUGUUCUCCUUUUUUAUUGCCCCAUAAAGUUUCCUGGCAAACACGUGAUGCAAGGCCAUGACACAAAAGCCUAUUCAUUUCUAAAAAUAAGACUGACUUGUCCCCUCGUCCUGAUAAAGAAAUCUCUCACACUUUACAGCCAGGCUGGGGCCGACCCAGCCUCCCCACUUGCACAAGGAGAACACAGGUCCCAUCAGGCCCACCCAGGAGCCUGCCCAGGAGCCCUUGGAGCGUGGCCUGCCUCGUUCACUGGAUCCAGUCUUCUGGGACCCAGAAGGGAAGUUGGCAAGCAUUCCGAGAACCUAGGAUGCGCCACGUCAUUGUCCCAGCCCUGGGGACACAGGAGUGUCAGUCCCCACCUGCCAGGAGUGAACAUUCUGGUAAGGGGCCAUGUGGAAACAGGAAGAGUGUCCAAGUAGAAAGAGCUGGAUCCAGAGACGGGGCCUCUGGGAGUUUGCUCCGGGGUGGUUCUCUUAGCCAUCCUGCGAGUUGGGGUUGACUGAUGAGGACGCAGCUGAUGGAAAGUGCUGGACUUUUCAAGCAUGUGCAAGGACCUUGAAAGGCGGACACUCUGGGUAGGUGUGACCAAGUGGCCUCAGAGAUGGCUGGAGAAGAAGGAGCUGGGCAAGGUCCCUGGGUGUAAACGCACCUCUCAGCUGCCCUGCUCUGGGAUCUAAGGCCAGCUUCCUGCUUCCCAAAGGCCACUGUCCUCAAGUGCAAGGCUCCUCCUCCGCCACCAGGUCCCACCCAGCCCUCCCUUGUCCCUCCCUCCCUGGGUCAGGCCUGUGUCUCCGCCUCCUUUGGCUCCCUCCCUGCUCCCCACCCACCCCAGGGGUUUCCCCAUCAAUCGGAACAAUAUAUCAGCUGCGGUGAGAGGGGUGGUUUUACCCUGGUGGCUGCUGGUUUCCUGGGGAGCAGUGGUGAGGUCUUUAUGCUCUAUGAGUUCCCUCUGGGAGGAAGGAUGGUAGGAUGGAAGGCUGGGGGGUGGUGGUCAGUUAGAGGCUAUUGCGGUUGUGGGCAGGAGAGCUGCUGCUGCUGCUGGUGGGUCACUGAUUCUGCUGGAGAGAUGCUGAGAUGGGUGGCAGCGCUGGCAGGACCCAGUUAUGGACCAGAGGUGAGGAGGAGGCCUGGCUAAAGGCUGUCUGGCCGACCUGCCUCUCCACACCCGGAAUCAUCUUUUUAGAACCAUCUCUGGUUCUGCCGUGUCAUCCUGGGACACGUGUCAACCAGUCAGGUCCCUCUCUGAGCUUCAGUCUCUUCCGCCAAAUGAAAGAAUCAUCCCCUGACUUGUUCAGUCACUAAGUUGUGUCCGACUCUUUGUGACCCCAUGGACUGCAGCACACCAGGCUCCUCUGUCCUUCACUAUCUCCAGGAACUUGCUCAGAUUCACGUCCAUUGAGUCGGUGAUGCCUUCUGACC